UACAGAGGGGGCAAGCGUUGUUCGGAAUUACUGGGCGUAAAGGGCGCGUAGGCGGCCGCCUAAGUCAGACGUGAAAUCCCCGGGCUCAACCCGGGAACUGCGUCUGAUACUGGCAGGCUUGAAUCCGGGAGAGGGAUGCGGAAUUCCAGGUGUAGCGGUGAAAUGCGUAGAUAUCUGGAGGAACACCGGUGGCGAAGGCGGCAUCCUGGACCGGCAUUGACGCUGAGGAGCGAAAGCCAGGGGAGCAAACGGG
rnacentral:rRNA from 1 species